rnacentral:rRNA from 1 species
AAUAGAUACCCCGGUAGUCCUUGCCGUAAACUAUGUAUACUUGGUGUAGCCGGAAUCAACCCUGGCUGUGCCGUAGCUAACGCGAUAAGUAUACCGCCUGGGGAGUACGCUCGCAAGGGUGAAACUCAAAAGAAUUGACGGGGACCCGCACAAGCAGUGGAGCAUGUGGUUUAAUUCGAUGCAACGCGAAGAACCUUACCCAGACUUGACAUACAGUGGAAUUUUGUAGAGAUACAAAAGCUUUUCGGAGCCGCUGAACAGGUGCUGCAUGGCUGUCGUCAGCUCGUGCCGUGAGGUGUUGGGUUAAGUCCCGCAACGAGCGCAACCCUUAUCGUUAGUUGCCAACAGGUAAUGCUGGGAACUCUAGCGAGACUGCCUGGGUUAACCAGGAGGAAGGUGAGGAUGACGUCAAGUCCGCAUGGCCCUUAUGUCUGGGGCUACACACGUGCUACAAUGGUCGGUACAGAAGGCAGCGAAACCGUGAGGUGAAGCAAAUCCCAAAAGCCGGCCCCAGUUCAGAUUGUAGU